GACGAACGCUGGCGGCGUGCUUAACACAUGCAAGUCGAACGGAAAGGCCCUGCUUUUGUGGGGUGCUCGAGUGGCGAACGGGUGAGUAACACGUGAGUAACCUGCCCUUGACUUUGGGAUAACUUCAGGAAACUGGGGCUAAUACCGGAUAGGAGCUCCUGCUGCAUGGUGGGGGUUGGAAAGUUUCGGCGGUUGGGGAUGGACUCGCGGCUUAUCAGCUUGUUGGUGGGGUAGUGGCUUACCAAGGCUUUGACGGGUAGCCGGCCUGAGAGGGUGACCGGGCACAAUGGGAAUGAGAUGCGGCCCAGACCUCUAAGGGGGGGAAGCGUGGGGAAAAAUGGAACAAGGGGGGAAAGCUGGAGGAGGAACGGCGGGUGGGGGAUGACGGCCUUCGGGUUGUAAACCGCUUUCGCCUGUGACGAAGCGUGAGUGACGGUAAUGGGUAAAGAAGCACCGGCUAACUACGUG
rnacentral:rRNA from 1 species